GAUGAACGCUGGCGGCGUGCCUAAUACAUGCAAGUCGAGCGAACGGACGAGAAGCUUGCUUCUCUGAUGUUAGCGGCGGACGGGUGAGUAACACGUGGAUAACCUACCUAUAAGACUGGGAUAACUUCGGGAAACCGGAGCUAAUACCGGAUAAUAUUUUGAACCGCAUGGUUCAAAAGUGAAAGACAGUAUUGCUGUCACUUAUAGAUGGAUCCGCGCUGCAUUAGCUAGUUGGUGAGGUAACGGCUUACCAAGGCAACGAUGCAUAGCCGACCUGAGAGGGUGAUCGGCCACACUGGAACUGAGACACGGUCCAGACUCCUACGGGAGGCAGCAGUAGGGAAUCUUCCGCAAUGGGCGAAAGCCUGACGGAGCAACGCCGCGUGAGUGAUGAAGGUCUUCGGAUCGUAAAACUCUGUUAUUAGGGAAGAACAUAUGUGUAAGUAACUGUGCACAUCUUGACGGUACCUAAUCAGAAAGCCACGGCUAACUACGUG
rnacentral:rRNA from 1 species